rnacentral:rRNA from 1 species
GAUGAACGCUGACAGAAUGCUUAACACAUGCAAGUCUACUUGAAUUUGGGUUUUUAACUUAGGUUUGGGUGGCGGACGGGUGAGUAACGCGUAAAGAACUUGCCUCACAGCUAGGGACAACAUUUAGAAAUGAAUGCUAAUACCUAAUAUUAUGAUAAUAGGGCAUCCUAUAAUUAUGAAAGCUAUAUGCGCUGUGAGAGAGCUAUGCGUCCCAUUAGCUAGUUGGAGAGGUAACGGCUCACCAAGGCGAUGAUGGGUAGCCGGCCUGAGAGGGUGAUCGGCCACAAGGGGACUGAGACACGGCCCUUACUCCUACGGGAGGCAGCAGUGGGGAAUAUUGGACAAUGGACCGAGAGUCUGAUCCAGCAAUUCUGUGUGCACGAUGAAGUUUUUCGGAAUGUAAAGUGCUUUCAGUUGGGAAGAAAGAAAUGACGGUACCAACAGAAGAAGUGACGGCUAAAUACGUGCCAGCAGCCGCGGUAAUACGUAUGUCACGAGCGUUAUCCGGAUUUAUUGGGCGUAAAGCGCGUCUAGGUGGUUAUAUAAGUCUGAUGUGAAAAUGCAGGGCUCAACUCUGUAUUGCGUUGGAGACUGUAUAACUAGAGUACUGGAGAGGUAAGCGGAACUACAAGUGUAGAGGUGAAAUUCGUAGAUAUUUGUAGGAAUGCCGAUGGGGAAGCCAGCUUACUGGACAGAUACUGACGCUGAAGCGCGAAAGCGUGGGUAGCAAACAGG